AUUGAACGCUGGCGGCAGGCCUAACACAUGCAAGUCGAGCGGUAGAGAGGUGCUUGCAUCUCUUGAGAGCGGCGGACGGGUGAGUAAUGCCUAGGAAUCUGCCUAGUGGUGGGGGAUAACGUUCGGAAACGGACGCUAAUACGCAUACGUCCUACGGGAGAAAGCGGGGGGAGUCUUCGGACCUCGCGCCAUUAGAUGAGCCUAGGUCGGAUUAGCUAGUUGGUGAGGUAAUGGCUCACCAAGGCGACGAUCGUAACUGGUCUGAGAGGAUGAUCAGUCACACUGGAACUGAGACACGGUCCAGACUCUACGGGAGGCAGCAGUGGGGAAUAUUGGACAAUGGGCGAAAGCCUGA
rnacentral:rRNA from 1 species